rnacentral:rRNA from 1 species
UACAGAGGGUGCAAGCGUUGUCCGGAAUCACUGGGCGUAAAGGGCGCGUAGGCGGCCUGAUAAGUCGGGGGGUGAAAUUCUGCGGCUUAACCGCAGGACGGCCUUCGAGACUGUCGGGCUCGAGCACGGUAGAGGCUGGUGGAAUUCCCGGUGUAGCGGUGGAAUGCGUAGAGAUCGGGAAGAACAUCGGUGGCGAAGGCGGCCAGCUGGGCCGUUGCUGACGCUGAGGCGCGACAGCGUGGGGAGCAAACAGG